rnacentral:rRNA from 1 species
UACGAAGGGGGCUAGCGUUGCUCGGAAUCACUGGGCGUAAAGGGUGCGUAGGCGGGUCUUUAAGUCAGGGGUGAAAUCCUGGAGCUCAACUCCAGAACUGCCUUUGAUACUGGGGAUCUCGAGUCCGGGAGAGGUGAGUGGGAACUCCGAGUGUAGAGGUGAAAUUCGUAGAUAUUCGGAAGAACACCAGUGGCGAAGGGCGG